rnacentral:rRNA from 1 species
UACGUAGGGGGCAAGCGUUGUCCGGAAUCAUUGGGCGUAAAGCGCGUGUAGGCGGCCAGAAAAGUCCGCUGUGAAAACUCGAGGCUCAACUUCGAGCUGUCGGUGGAAACUGGUCACCUGGAGGACGGUAGAGGCGAGUGGAAUUCCCGGUGUAGUGGUGAAAUGCGUAGAGAUCGGGAGGAACACCAGUGGCGAAGGCGGCUCGCUGGGCCGGACCUGACGCUGAGACGCGAAGGCGUGGGGAGCAAACAGGG